UGACAUUACCUAGGUAAGGACUACUAGCCAGUCAGAAGCAGAGGAUGAGGGUCCUGACAUUACCUAGGUAAGGACUACUAGCCAGUCAGAAGCAGAGGAUGAGGGUCCUGACAUUACCUAGGUAAGGACUACUAGCCAGUCAGAAGCAGAGUAUGAGGCCCUGACAGUACCUAGGUAAGGACUACUAGCCAGUCAGAAGCAGAGAAUGAGGGCAUUUGUGAACAGGGUUUUCUGUUGGAGAGGUUAAGUCCCUUUGAGGGGGUGGGACUUUGGGCUUUUUCCCUUUGUAAAGCAAUAACAUGCACA